GAAUAUUGCGCAAUGGACGAAAGUCUGACGCAGCGACGCCGCGUGUAGGAUGAAGCCUUUCGGGGUGUAAACUACUGUUGCCCGGGACGAAACCCUCCUUUCGAGGAGAUUGACGGUACCGGGUGAGGAAGCACCGGCUAACUCUGUGCCAGCAGCCGCGGUAAUACAGAGGGUGCGAGCGUUGUCCGGAAUCACUGGGCGUAAAGGGUGCGUAGGUGGCUUGGUAAGCGUGUGGUGAAAGUCCGGGGCUCAACCCCGGAUCUGCCAUGCGAACUGCUAGGCUUGAGCUAUGUAGAGGCAGGUGGAAUUUCGGGUGUAGCGGUGGAAUGCGUAGAGAUCCGAAAGAACACCAGUGGCGAAGGCGGCCUGCUGGGCAUAUGCUGACACUGAGGCACGACAGCGUGGGGAGCAAACAGG
rnacentral:rRNA from 1 species